AUCAGGUUGAUAGGUCUGAGGUGGAAGUGUGGCGACACAUGGAGCUGACAGAUACUAAUCGAUCGAGGACUUAACCAUAUUU
rnacentral:rRNA from 1 species